UAGAGUUUGAUCAUGGCUCAGAUUGAACGCUGGCGGUAUGCUUAACACAUGCAAGUCGAACGGUAACAGCAGAGCUUGCUCUGGCUGACGAGUGGCGGACGGGUGCGUAACGCGUGGGAAUCUACCUUAUAGUGGGGGAUAGCCCGGAGAAAUCCGGAUUAACACCGCAUAAUCUCUACGGAGGAAUGAAAGCUCCUGCUAUUAGAUGAGCCCGCGUUAGAUUAGCUUGUUGGUGAGGUAAUGGCUCACCAAGGCAACGAUCUGUAGCUGGUUUGAGAGGAUGAUCAGCCACACUGGGACUGAGACACGGCCCAGACUCCUACGGGAGGCAGCAGUGGGGAAUAUUGGACAAUGGGCGGAAGCCUGAUCCAGCAAUACCGCGUGUGUGAAGAAGGCCUGAGGGUUGUAAAGCACUUUCAAUGGGGAAGAUGAUGACGGUACCCACAGAAGAAGCCCCGGCUAACUCCGUGCCAGCAGCCGCGGUAAUACGGAGGGGGCAAGCGUUAUUCGGAUUUACUGGGCGUAAAGCGCGCGUAGGCGGCUUGUUAAGUCGGAUGUGAAAGCCCUAGGCUCAACCUGGGAACUGCAUUCGAUACUGGAUAUCUAGAGUAUGGUAGAGGGAAGUGGAAUUUCCGGUGUAGCGGUGAAAUGCGUAGAUAUCGGGAGGAACAUCAGUGGCGAAGGCGACUUUCUGGAACAAUACUGACGCUGAGGUACGAAAGCGUGGGGAGCAAACAGGAUUAGAUACCCUGGUAGUCCACGCCCUAAACGAUGUCAACUAGCCGUUGGGGGAAUUUAAUCCUUUAGUGGCGCAGCUAACGCGUUAAGUUGACCGCCUGGGGAGUACGGCCGCAAGGCUAAAACUCAAAUGAAUUGACGGGGGCCCGCACAAGCGGUGGAGCAUGUGGUUUAAUUCGAUGCAACGCGAAGAACCUUACCUACCCUUGACAUCCUCAGAACUUGUUAGAGAUAACUUGGUGCCUUCGGGAACUGAGUGACAGGUGCUGCAUGGCUGUCGUCAGCUCGUGUCGUGAGAUGUUGGGUUAAGUCCCGUAACGAGCGCAACCCUUGUCCUUAGUUGCCAGCACGUAAUGGUGGUAACUCUGGAGACUGCCGGUGACAACCCGGAGGAAGGUGGGGACGACGUCAAGUCAUCAUGGCCCUUACGACCUGGGCUACACACGUGCUACAAUGGGCGGUACAAAGGGCUGCAAACCCGCGAGGGGGAGCAAAUCUGAAAAAACCGGUCGUAGUCCGGAUUGGAGUCUGCAACUCGACUCCAUGAAGUCGGAAUCGCUAGUAAUCGUGAAUCAGAAUGUCACGGUGAAUACGUUCCCGGGCCUUGUACACACCGCCCGUCACACCAUGGGAGUGGGUUGCACCAGAAGUAGCUAGUCUAACCUUCGGGAGGACGGUUACCACGGUGUGAUUCAUGACUGGGGUGAAGUCGUAACAAGGUA
rnacentral:rRNA from 1 species